AGGCAAUCGACCAUGAAACUGAGCAACAACUACGCAAACUAUCUAUAAGAUACAUUUCCCAUCGCACAGCCAAUUGUGGCCAGGAAGGGGGGAAAAGUUUAUACAGAACUUCCUGUUGCUAAAAUUUACAACGGAACGUUUUCAACAUUGAAUUCGAAAUAUUGGCAAAUAUUGGUUGGAUUUCAAAGCUUUUGAACGCGCGACGGCGACGAACACAACUGAGUUAUGAAAACUGAAUGAAAAGCACAAAAGCAGAGCAAAGUAAACUUGUUUGCCGCCUGCCCACCCCCAACAAAAGGGAGGGAAAGAGCGAGCAAUAUGAAGAGAGAGAGAAACAUCAAUAUUGGCGCUUUUUAGCAUUUUGACUUAACAACACUGGCAGUGAGAACGAGGCAUUACCAUCUGGUAAAAAAGCUUUCAAAACUUGUUGCUCUUGUCUCUUUCGUAUUUCUCUUUCCCAAAAAUAUGAGAAACCGACACUUUAAAGAUAUAUUAACGAAUAUCGAAUAUAAUUGGAGUCUUAAUAUUCGUAUAUUUUAUAGAGAUCAGAGUAAAUCUCUUACAGUUUUCGAUUUACCCCUCUCUUUCUCCUCUCAAUUCCCCUCUCUUUCUCGCACACCAAAACCGCUGCAAAUUUGAAUUAAUGGUUCACCCUGUUGCUUUUUAUCUUUUAAUUGAGCUGAGCUGCAAUUCAAGUGGACCGUGUGAGAUCUACGAGGCGCUCUGGGGUUUUCCCCGCUUCGGGAAAGAAAAUCAUCUUAAUUGAAUUCAUUCAUAAAUUGCAGCUUUGAACUGGACCAACAAGUCAACAAGUCUAUCUGCACUGAUCCUAUAAACAGACCGAAGGGGCGCCGAAAGAUAUCUUAACAUUGCCCCAAGAUGAGGAAUAGUCGGCGCAAGAGUGAAUCCCCCAAACCACGGCAUGAUCGCCUGCUACACCGCAGUCCGUCCGUUUGUCCGCUCAUCUGUCCGUUCGUCGGACAGUCCGUUCCCCCAAUUGACGUCAACGGCGCCGACUAAAGUCAGUGAGGCAGGCCGUAAGAGGCACGUACUGGAAAUCAAAUGAUGUAGUUUCUACAUUAUAUAGACAAAGGCGACGUCGGCAAUGGAAAGCAGGGUACAGAAAUAAAACAUUCGGUUCCACUUUAGAACGAGACGAAGAGCAACGCACAAAAUCCAACAAAGAUCCAGAUCUUGGCUAUAUAAGCGAAUACAAUUAUA